GACGAACGCUGGCGGCGUGCUUAACACAUGCAAGUCGAACGGAAAGGCCCUGCUUUUGUGGGGUGCUCGAGUGGCGAACGGGUGAGUAACACGUGAGUAACCUGCCCUUGACUUUGGGAUAACUGCAGGAAACUGGGGCUAAUACCGGAUAGGAGCUCCUGCUGCAUGGUGGGGGUUGGAAAGUUUCGGCGGUUGGGGAUGGACUCGCGGCUUAUCAGCUUGUUGGUGGGGUAGUGGCUUACCAAGGCUUUGACGGGUAGCCGGCCUGAGAGGGUGACCGGCCACAUUGGGACUGAGAUACGGCCCAGACUCAUACGGGAGGCAGCAGUGGGGAAUAUUGCACAAUGGGCGGAAGCCUGAUGCAGCAACGCCGCGUGCGGGAUGACGGCCUUCGGGUUGUAAACCGCUUUCGCCUGUGACGAAGCGUGAGUGACGGUAAUGGGUAAAGAAGCACCGGCUAACUACGUG
rnacentral:rRNA from 1 species